rnacentral:snRNA from 1 species
CAUAACCGCAUCAGGUCUC